UUCAAGAAUUGCAGACACCUGCUUUAUUUAAAAUGCUGCAUUUUUUUUGCAUAUUUAAGACAAAUUAUGAAGACUUAUGACUGAACGCUGUUUUUCUAAAAGGUAGUAUUUCUUCAGAAUGAUGUGUAUGCUUCUUGGUUUAGACCCAUGGGUGGGUGAAUGGAGAGAUACAUUUGGUAUAGAAGGGAAAUAUGCAUAUUUAGACCUAUCUUGCACAUCUUCCAUUAAGGUCUCUAGCUGCCUGAACAUUAAGGAGCUGUGCCAGUGAGGAGGACAAGAAACCUGAUAACUGGUCUUGUGAUUAAAAGGAGCUAACAGAGGAUCUGGGGGCUCAACUGAUUGAGCGUCUGAUUUCAGCUCAGGUCGUGAACUCACAGAUUGUGGGUUCAAGCUCCACAUUGGGUUCGCUGCUGUCUGCCUGUCUGUGCAGAGCACACUUUGGAUCCUCAGUCCCCCUUUCUCUCUGUCCUUCCUCUGCUUACAUUCUCUCUCUCAAAAAUUAAAAAACCAUUAAACAUUUUAUUUAAAAAAAGGAACUAACAGAGCUUAUGAUAAGACUUGCAAGGGUAGAGAGCCAACUAUCAGUUGUCUAUAGAACAGACAGGACUUGUGGAAGCAUAGUGUAUUAAGUGGAGGCCCCUGAGCUUGGAAAAGGGUCUUUCAUAUCAGGCUGGAACCAAGACAAGCACAAAGAGGUUAUAAUUUAGAUACAUGAUAUGCAUACAACAAACACCUCUAUUUGGAAUGGGGUACAACAUUUA
rnacentral:lncRNA from 1 species